rnacentral:lncRNA from 1 species
UUCUUUUGUCUCUUGAGAUUUUACCACUGAUGUCCAGCCCAAAUGGCUCUUCACCACAAGUCAUGAGAUUUUACGACUUUCCAUUUGCUUAUAUAAACAUGUUUUGAGAAGUUCCACACCAUCACAGCUAUCCACAAAACUAGAGAACUACUCGAAAUUUCUCUUCAUCCUUUACUCAUCUUAAAUAAAAGAUCAUGGCUAUCCGUAUGCCUCGUAUUAUCAAGAAGUCUUCUACAACUGGAGAUGUUCCCAAGGGAUAUUUUGCUGUUUAUGUUGGGGAGAACUUCUGGGAAUUCUCUAACAACUGGCAUAGACGGAAGAGCUGGUGGUUCUGAUUCUGGAUUAAUGAUGUGAGCCAAAUAGGCAAGACACCCCUUACUGAUCAUUUGUUGUGCUUUAAGGUAAGAAAUAAACUUACCUACAAGCGAUGCUGAACUACCCUUCCACUCUAAGACUUCUUCAUUUGGAAAUUGAAACGUGACUAACUUGGCACGACAAUCUAAUAUGGCAUAGUAGGAAGAUAACCAAUCCAUACCUAUGAUCACAUCGAAAUCCACCAUUUCUAACUCUAUGAGAUCGGCCUCGGUGCUGCGACCUUGGACUGAAACUAUACAGCCUCUAUAGACUCUUGUGACUUUCACUAACUCGCCAAUUGGAGUAGAUACUAGGAAUGGCUUACUAAGUUGUUUAGGUUCUAGCCCGAGGUUAAUUGCAAAGUAUGGAGUCACAUAUGAAAAUGUUGAACCCAGAUUAAUUAUGGCAUAAGCAUUAUGUGAGCAGACUAAAAGUAUACCUAUAAUAACUUCUGCAAAUGCCUCUGCACUCUGACGAUCGAGUGUAGCAAACAAACGGGGUUAUCCCCCUCCUUGAGUAACUCGAUCUGUACCUCUGCCUGCCUCAUGCCCGGUCUGAUUAUGAGAACCACGAGCCUGAGGUGGUGCAACUGCAGUAGCUGAGGAACAAGAAGGACGAGUUGAUCCACCACUGAAAUUACGUCGCAACUUUGGGCAGUUGGCCUUUAUAUGACCAAUGUCUCCACAAUGUUAGCAACCAUGAAACCCAAGCUUGCACUGACCUGAAUGUUGCCGCUUACAUGUUCCACAAAGACCUUGUUGGUGUGAAUGUUGCUCAACAUGACUCAGUCUAUGUGAGGAUGAUGUCCUAAAAUUCUGAUUCUGGCGAGACUGGUUUCCAUAACUCUGAGUACAUCUGAAGGAAGACCCACCACCUGACUGAUGACUGGACUGAGCUGGUGCUAAUAACUCCUUAUUAGAGGAAUCCCUUCCACCUCUGCUGGAUGUACCAUUAAACCUUCCCGUUGUCCGGGCUUUCUUGUUAUGCUCAUUUUCUUCUCUCCUUUGUUGUCUGUCUUUUUCUAAGUGCUUGGCGAAUCCCACAACAGAGGAGAAGGUUGUCAUCCCUACCGCUGCAGCUGAUGUCGUAUCUUUAAUGUGGUAAGCCAAACCACCAACAAACCUGCGAAUCUUUGCUUUUUCUGUCUUAACCAUGUGAGGAGCAUGCUUAGCUAACCUUAUGAAUUCCAUAUAGUACUCUUGCACACUUUUAUUCCCUUGCUCGAGCUGUUCGAACUCUGUAGCCUUAGCUUCCCUAUCCUCUUCGGGAUAAAGUUAGCCAUGAAGGCCUCUUCAAAUUCUUCCCAAGUAGGCGGACCAUGGUAACUGAGCUCACUAUCUAUAGCUAUGUCUAGGAAAAAAAGGUCCUAGGAUCGUGCCCUCCUUUAAUGUCAAUUAUGAGGGUCAUUGAUGAAGAUGUAACGGUAAACAUAAAUGCCAAAUUAUCUGUAACGGACCGUCGCUCUUAAUGCUGCAGAAUAUUCCUUAGUAAAUGCUACCGGGCGCAGAGCAUUUAAUACACCUUUUUGAACGUUAUCCUUUCUGGUGAUAAGUAGAGUGACUGCGUUCGAUUCUUAGCUAUCCCAUCUUGGAUUUCACGUGUCCUCCUUUGCCGUGAGGGAAUUAAGAACAUGCAGAUGUUUAAAAUAUAACCAGUGUUUGCAAAAUAUUUGAAAAAUAGCCCGCUCAUUAAAUUUGCUAAAUUGGGUAAUUUUCUAAGCAUAUUUUCUAAUUUGGUAUGCCAUCUUGUCUGGUUCAAAUAAUUUUUCUAGCUUGAGGAAUCUAUGACUUUGUCUUUGCAUUUAACAAAUACAGCUUAAUUAACUUGUUAGUUAAUUUUUCAGCUAAUCUAGAAUUGAAAAAAUAAUAAUGUGCAGUCGAGAUCAUGAGUUGAAAAAUAAUUUGAAGUUGUAACUAACUUCAAAUUGAGUCUCUAUGUUUCCAUGUUAGGUUAUACUAACUUAGGAAUUAGAACAUUUGGUCUUAGGUUUUCAUAGAUACUUAGAAUGCUAAGUUUGGUAUAAGAAUUUAAGUCAAAUCAUUAUUCUAUUUAUGCAGUCUCUCUUGACAAACUUAAGCUAGCAUAUUAUUCUUGUGGAUUAGUAGCAGUGCAUUAUCAUAAAUGCACACCAGAUUAGAGAUAAGUUUCUAUAUUGUGAAGCAUUUAUUUACUUUCUGUGGCGAGCUUAGUCACCACAAAAUUGCUAAUAAUAGAACAAACUAGCUUUUGUGGUGACUAAGCUCGCCACAACAUAAAUUUUACGUAGGUCGCUACUCAAAACAGCUGACAUAUAGUUUGUCGCUGAAACUAUUACCAACACAACAUUAACUUUUUUUGGCGACUAAAGAGGUCGCUACAGUACGUUUAGGUUUCUACUCAAAACAACGACAUAUUGUUCGCCACUGAAACUAUCACGUAUUAUGGUGACUCGGCACUUACUUGUGGUGGCGACUAAAGAGGUUUGCCACAGAACGCCGUCGCUGAAACCCUUGUUUCCUGUCGUAUUUCUUAUCGGGUAAUGAAUCUGGAGAAAUAUUCUAGUUUUAUCCAAUUCUCAAUUAUUUCCAAUAGAAAUAGUCUAGCUUUGUCGCUAAUUUAACCAUUUUAUAAAUACUCAACUGCAGCACUAGUUGGAAGCAUAAGACUAGGUUUGGUCAAAAGAACCAACUUGUAUGUUGAGUCAUCGCUUUAGCACUAUAUAUGAUCAGAUUUUGUCUAAAUUUCUCAGGAUAUAUAUGCCGUCAUAGAUUCGAAAUUUCAUGAAUGAUGAUCAGUCAUUGGAAUGCUGACUAUUACUUGUUGAUUUAACAUCAAUAAAUGGUUCCACAUUUUCAAGUCUCAUGGUUUGCUAUCAAUCAAGUGAAAUACAACAAUAAGUCUUUUUUCUUGUGGCUCAACUGCAGUAUUUGAGAAGCAACAAAUCCAACUGAACAAUAAAAAUAGCUAGAUAAUGUGAUAAAAGCUACUGUGCUUGCCCCACAGUUUCCUAUUAACAUGCGAAGCUCAAAUGCAAAGAGCUUUGUUUUCCUAAAGAUAAUCCUGAAUCAGUAGUUAAUAAUGCGCAUAAGUUUUAAGAACAGAUUCAUGAAACCUGGUUCAGAUUCAUCUUCUUGAAAAUGGUUUAGUAUACCAAAUGCUUUGUUUCAUAAGUGGAUGCGCAUUGUUUCAUAAUCAACUUUUUUGAACACUAAGAUUUUCUAUUUAUUUUUCAGCUUGGACCAGAUUCAAGUUCAGACAUUUCUUCUCUUGGUUAUUAGUUCUGAGGUCCACACUUGCUCAGCAGUGGCACAACUUAAGUAGACACUGGUUGGUUUUGCUCUUAUUUGACCUUCUUAUUGAUAAAUGAAUCUGGAAAAAUAUUCUAACUUUAUCCAAUUCUCUAUUAUUUCAAGUUGUAAUAUGGCCAAAUUUUCAUGACAUUUGCCAUGACAUAAUAUCUAUUAUAACAAAUUUGUGGUUCAUGACAUUUGCCAUGACAUAAUAUCCAUUAUAACAAAUUUGUGGAUCAUGACAUUUGCCAUGACAUAAUAUCCAUUAUUAGGCCAAGGAUUUCUUGCUAUAAAUACAGGAGUUUCCCCUCAUUUGCAAACACACCAAUUCAAGAGAUUUUCACUCUUGUCUUUCUUUCUCCUCAUUUAUUUCAUUAUAGAUUAUUUUGUAAGAGAGUGAGUGUUGGAAAAUACUUGUGUGAAUCCUUUCUUUGGAGUGAUCUUGUGAGGUUAUUCUCUUGGGGUAUUUGGGAUUAAUUAGAGUAUUUACUUUAAUUUUGUACUAUCUUUUGUACUCUUGUUGGUAGAGUGAAAUUGCUUCUCUCCGCUUGUGGACGUAGGUCACCUUGACCGAACCACGUUAAAUUUGUGUCUUCUUUAUAUUCUUUAAUUGUUGUUAUUAUCAACUUCCAUUGUCUUUGUUAUUGUCAUUAUACCGUUGUUUGGCUAAAUUUCGCACUACCCGGGUUCCCGAUCCUAACAAAUUGGUAUCAGAGCCAGAUCUAACAUGGUUAGUUUAAAUAGCCAAAAUGACUCUAACAAAGUCUUAUGUUGAGAAAUUUGACCAAAGUGCAAACUUCGGAAUGUGGCAAUUAAAUAUGGAAGCUAUCCUAAUUCAGGAUGGCUUAGAUUUGGCACUGCAAGGAAAGGAGAAGAUNNN